UACAGAGGGGGCAAGCGUUGUUCGGAAUUACUGGGCGUAAAGGGCGCGUAGGCGGCCUGCUAAGUCGAACGUGAAAUCCCCGGGCUCAACCCGGGAACUGCGUCCGAUACUGACAGGCUUGAAUCCGGGAGAGGGAUGCGGAAUUCCAGGUGUAGCGGUGAAAUUCGUAGAUAUUGGGAAGAACACCGGUGGCGAAGGCGGCUCUCUGGACCGAUACUGACGCUGAGGCGCGAAAGCGUGGGGAGCAAACAGG
rnacentral:rRNA from 1 species